rnacentral:hammerhead_ribozyme from 1 species
GCACUACCAAAGAGUCCCAAAAUAAGACGAAACGGCCGUCCAGUGC